UGUAGGUGUGGUGUGUGUGUGUGUGUGUGUGUGUGUGUGUGUGUGUGUGUGUGUGUGUCAUGCCUUUCAUUUCCUUUUGUUAUUUUUAUUCUUGUUCAUUUUAUUCUUCCUCCUCCUCCUCCUCCUAGUCAGUUCUAGCUACCUACUUUCAUAUCAGGGGACUUAUUUUAAUUAUAUAUUUAUUUUAUUUUAUUUAUAUAUCUUUCAUUUCCCAAGUUUUCUCAUGUCCUGGCUAAUACUGAUAAUGAUGAUGAUAUAAUAAUGUAAGAAUCUUUAUUAUUAUUAUUAUUAUUAUUAUUAUUAUUAUUAUUAUUAUUAUUAUUAUGUACAGUAUGAUGGGUGAUGUAAAUAUUACUAAUUUAUUGAACAAAAAUAAUUAUUGUUGAAGGAAAAUC